CACGUAGGGUGCGAGCGUUUAAUCGGAAUUACUGGGCGUAAAGCGUGCGCAGGCGGUUCGUUAAGUUCGAUGUGAAAGCCCCGGGCUCAACCUGGGAACUGCAUUGGAAACUGGCGAGCUUGAAUGCGGCAGAGGGGGUGGAAUUCCGCGUGUAGCAGUGAAAUGCGUAGAGAUGUGGAGGAACACCGAUGGCGAAGGCAGCCCCCUGGGCCAAUACUGACGCUCAUGCACGAAAGCGUGGGAGCAAACAGG
rnacentral:rRNA from 1 species